GCAAAACCCCUGAGGGCCCUGUGCCCCCCCACGAGUUCUCUUACCCCCCCCCCCAUCACCCUCCUAACUCUUUUGUCACAUUUACAAGUAACACUGUUACUGGUUUCAAUUCAGGCCUGAGUGGAUAGUCAGGAAAAGCUAAUCAGCAUGACCCCUGGGUUGGAUCUUUGUCCUUCUGGCAGAGCGACCUUCUGCUGGGAAGUGAGGUGCCUGCAUUUUCCGGGAGGGACUCGGGAUUGGAACCUACGAAGGCUUCCCAAAUGCUGACCCAGCCCUGCACCAAGCCGGCCCUGCACCAAGCCGGCUGCCAGAACCUCCCAGGAGCCGGUUUCGAUAGAGAGGCGUCGCUGUGCCGCAGAAGAACCAGCACAGUUUUGGGACCGCUCAGGGCUCAGAUCCUGGUAAAGACACGCGCAGGUGGAAUUCCUCUUUUCUGGACUGAGUGGCAAAGAAAUCACUUCCAGAGAGCCU
rnacentral:lncRNA from 1 species